AUCGCUUCUCGGCCUUUUGGCUAAGAUCAUGUGUAGUAUCUGUUCAUGUCAGCUUAAUAUCUGGAAUGCUGGGGAUUGCAUGGCACCAAUAAUAAACUGAUUUUUGCUUCUCGAGUUAACAUCAAAGCUUGUUUCGGUUGACUCAUGGGUUGUCGUGGUCUUACACUACCAUAAUGAUAUGACUGCUUCAG